CCUACGGGUGGCUGCAGUGGGGAAUAUUGGACAAUGGGGGCAACCCUGAUCCAGCCAUGCCGCGUGUGUGAAGAAGGCCCUCGGGUUGUAAAGCACUUUCAGUGAGGAAGAACGCCUGGUGGUUAAUACCCAUCAGGAAAGACAUCACUCACAGAAGAAGCACCGGCUAACUCCGUGCCAGCAGCCGCGGUAAUACGGAGGGUGCGAGCGUUAAUCGGAAUUACUGGGCGUAAAGCGCGCGUAGGUGGCUUGAUAAGCCGGUUGUGAAAGCCCCGGGCUCAACCUGGGAACGGCAUCCGGAACUGUCAAGCUAGAGUGCAGGAGAGGAAGGUAGAAUUCCCGGUGUAGCGGUGAAAUGCGUAGAGAUCGGGAGGAAUACCAGUGGCGAAGGCGGCAUUCUGGACUGACACUGACACUGAGGUGCGAAAGCGUGGGUAGCAAACAGGAUUAGAUACCCCUGUAGUC
rnacentral:rRNA from 1 species